UGAGGAAUAUUGGUCAAUGGGCGAGAGCCUGAACCACCCAAGUCGCGUGAAGGAAGACAGUCCUAAGGAUUGUAAACUUCUUUUAUACGGGAAUAACGGGCGAUACGAGUAUUGCAUUGAAUGUACCGUAAGAAUAAGCAUCGGCUAACUCCGUGCCAGCAGCCGCGGUAAUACGGAGGAUGCGAGCGUUAUCCGGAUUUAUUGGGUUUAAAGGGUGCGUAGGUUGUUCGGUAAGUCAGCGGUGAAACCUGAGCGCUCAACGUUCAGCCUGGCGUUGAAACUGCCGGGCUUGAGUUCAGUGGCGGCAGGCGGAAUUCGUGGUGGAGCGGUGAAAUGCAUAGAUAUCACGAGGAACUCCGAUUGCGAAGGCAGCUUGCCAUACUGCGACUGACACUGAAGCACGAAGGCGUGGGUAUCAAACAGG
rnacentral:rRNA from 1 species